rnacentral:rRNA from 1 species
UCUAAUGAGACUGCCAUCGUAAGAUGUGAGGAAGGUGGGGAUGACGUCAAAUCAGCACGGCCCUUACGUCCGGGCGACACACGUGUUACAAUGGGUGGUACAAAGGGCAGCUACCUGGCGACAGGAUGCUAAUCUCGAAAACCGCUCUCAGUUCGGAUCGGAGUCUGCAACUCGACUCCGUGAAGCUGGAUUCGCUAGUAAUCGCGCAUCAGCCACGGCGCGGUGAAUACGUUCCCGGGCCUU